AAUGAACCUCCAUGUUUUACUUCCAAGUUUGCUAAUCCCUUCGGUGAACAACACUUGGAAAAACGUUUUUAGUUUGGAAAGCGUUUAUCCCAUGAAUACUCUACUGUUCAGUAUCUUCUGAGACUCGGACACACCCAAAUUUCUGAUUCCACUCUCUUUCAUCCAUUUCUCUCCUCCCACCGAACUACCUUGAAGCUGCUGCUCCUCCAUUUUCAACGACUUCAAGCCAUCACUUAAUUUGGGGAAA
rnacentral:misc_RNA from 1 species